GGUGGGUACAGCUCAGUGGUAGAGCGCAUGCUUAGCAUGCAUAAGGUCCUGAGUUCAAUCCCCAGCACCGCCA
rnacentral:tRNA from 1 species